rnacentral:rRNA from 1 species
AUUGAACACUGGCGGCAGGCCUAACACAUGCAAGUCGAACGAUUGGCGGACGGGUGCGUCAUGUCUGGGAAACUGCCCGACGGAGGGGGAUAACUACUGGAAACGGUAGCUAAUACCGCAUACCAUCGGAUGUGCCCAGAUGGGAUUAGCUAGUAGGUGUGGUAACGGCUCACCUAGGCGACGAUCCAUAGCUGUGCGGAGAGGAUGACCGGCCACACUGGAACUGAGACACGGUCCAGACUCCGACGGGAGGCAGCAGUGGGGAAGAUUGCACAAUGGGCGCAAGCUUGAUGCAGCCAUGCCGCGUGUAUGAAGAAGGCCUUCGGGUUGUAAAGUACUUUCAGUGAGGAGGCGUUACUCGCAGAAGAAGCACCGGCUAACUCCGUGCCAGCAGCCGCGGUAAUUC